AGGAUGGUAGAAUUCCAGGUGUAGCGGUGAAAUGCGUAGAGAUCUGGAGGAAUACCGAUGGCGAAGGCAGCCAUCUGGCCUAAUACUGACACUGAGGUGCGAAAGCAUGGGGAGCAAACAGGAUUAGAUACCCUGGUAGUCCAUGCCGUAAACAAUGUCUACUAGCCGUUGGGGCCUUUGAGGCUUUAGUGGCGCAGCUAACGCGAUAAGUAGACCGCCUGGGGAGUACGGUCGCAAGACUAAAACUCAAAUGAAUUGACGGGGGCCCGCACAAGCGGUGGAGCAUGUGGUUUAAUUCGAUGCAACGCGAAGAACCUUACCUGGUCUUGACAUAGUAAGAACUUUCCAGAGAUGGAUUGGUGCCUUCGGGAACUUACAUACAGGUGCUGCAUGGCUGUCGUCAGCUCGUGUUGUGAAAUGUUGGGUUAAGUCCCGCAACGAGCGCAACCCUUAUCCUUUUUUGCCAGCGGGCUAAGCCGGGAACUUUAAGGAUACUGCCAGUGACAAACUGGAGGAAGGCGGGGACGACGUCAAGUCAUCAUGGCCCUUACGACCAGGG
rnacentral:rRNA from 1 species